GCCAGUUUUGCUGCGAGCUCCCUUAGAUGACAAAUUGCGCGCUCCUCCGGGAGGCUCUUGGCUCUCAUCAGCCCUCUGCGCGGCUUGGCUCACUUCAAACAACUGUUAUGCUGUUGUUUUCUUCUUGAAGUCCCAUCUUCUCCAUUACCGAUUCCCAGAUUCCAUAUGCCCCAGAGAAGGAAGGACAUAACUGACACGCAGAGGAUACAGAGACAGGGGUCUGUGCUGAGGAAGAGCCCCUGGUUUGUCCUCUCGCCUGAAUCAAACAGUUGUUCACUUGCCGCUUGGAAAAGCGCAUAGCCCUGCCUCUAAGAGCUGAGCUGCGCUGGACCUGAUGAGGCUGCGGUUCCACGGCUAGGGAUGACUUACCCCGGCAGUCAGUUCCCGUCGUCUUGGCAGAAGGCAAGGAUUGCUUUCUUCUCAUCGCUGGAGGAUUAGUCAUGAAUGGGGCGUAUUGCAAGCUUCCGGGGCCUGCUUCUCAUUCACCCGCCAUGCCCCCACCCCAUCCUCACGCUGAUCUAGGAAGUCUGAGAAACGACAUAAUCUUAAAGCGUUUGGAAAGAAAGUGAAAUUAGUUAAACCAAAUCAAAGUAAGCUGGGUGACUUGAAAUGAACUGACGUCAGCAAAGACUGCAGGCUGCUCACAAUCUCUCCAGGAGUGCUCCUUUCUCCCUCCCUCCAGGCUGUAAUCUAGUAAGGCCACCUUCUCAUCUGGUGACAGAAGAAAGCACAGGCUGGGGUCCAUUCAACCCAGAGCAGCAACCUUCCCUGGACCUUGUCCUUUUUCAGAACUUACCAUAAGGUAAGACGCUCUGUUUAACAAUGCAAGACUUGGGCCUGAACAGAUGGCUCAGCCCUUAAAGGUUAGGCUCACAACCCAAAAUAUAAAAAUGCAAGACUUGAAGUCACAACAGGACACUCUUGACAAUAAAGGGUGUCACUAAGAAGACUCCUCCAAGCUUCAGACUGUGUCUCCUGGGGAGGCCUUUCCUUUAUUAUUUCCUACAGCUCCCUGCACUUCCCAAAGUUUGCAGAGGUCUUUGCAUGUUCCCAGAGCAGGGAAACUGAACCCACCCACGACUUGAGCUUCAUAAUAGAAGGGAAAACCCAGGGUACCAAUUUGCACAAAUUCAGAACAUUGAUACCUCAUUUAUUUUCGCCAGUUAGGAAACUUUACGAUUAGCCCCUUUUUUCUUCCCUACCUCAACGACUAAGAGGCUUCAGUUCUGCCCAGGGCCUCUGCAAGCGGACAGGCAAUCAGCUGACAGGAUGCAUGCGGAAAAGGCCACUCUCCCUUUUCUUGUUACCUGGCCAGUUUCAGGCACUGCAAAAAAUAGCUUCCCGGAUUCUCACAUUCACCCCGUGCAGUAAUGAAGGCUCUGCCACUUUGCAGGCACCCUUCAGGGCCUUAGCAUCAGGUUCUCAGGACUCCACGCCUCCAUUAGCGGCCCCGGCCUGGAUAAAAGUCCUUGGUGACCUUAAAAGUAUCCAUUUUAAUCAGCAGGAUCAUUUUUGAGAGGAAACUCUUCUGAGCUUUCUGAGACAGCUGGGCUUUGGCUCUGGUUCCCUUCCCAUCACAGGCCUUGGGGCCUGGAGAGCAUUUCCCUCUGUGGUGGGUGAUGGGGAGACAGGACAGGCCUCUCCUGUGCUGCCCUGCACGUCCAGUGGUCUAGAGCCCAGCUGCGCGGAGGAGGGGAACUUGCUCUCCAGCACGGGAGCAGCUUUCCCAGAGGCCAGACAGAGGCUCUGGUCUUGCUAACUAGUGCUGGGCGCCUCCCUCAAGAGCCUCAGGGUUCUUGGCAGAAUGAACCUUAUCCCUGCUGGGAGCGAUGACUUUCUCAGGCCACGCUGAGGCCAGAUGGCAGGCCACAGGGUGACCCACUAGAGCAUUCGUGCUGAGAGGGUGGCACCCAGGACAGCAGAGAGAGGGCUCCAGGGCCAGCUGGGUCGCUAGGGACGCCCCCACGGAGACAGAGCUUACUCAGUACUGCGGUCCCUUGGGUUUCUUGACAGUAUUUUGGGGUCACUGCCGGUGAUAAAGGCAGAGCCUCCCUUUUAUAUACUAAGGACGCUAAACUCCAAAGCUAUGGUUUUGGAUUCUGCAAGCUGGAACCAGAUCCAGAUCUUAACGGCACAGCUGUGACAGAUUCCGGCUCACUUAUCCGGCCACUGGGGACCAUGCCCUCAAAGCACGUGGGUCUGCAAAAGACAACUAUGGAGAUGUCGGUUUCUGCAACCAUAGUGGCUCUGGACUUGGACCCAGAGGAGAGUGGUUUGACCUGAUGAUUCGCCAAACGAUGCCACUAGCGGAUAUCUUUGGUGAAGUAGAGUUUCCUGGUCUGUGAAAGGAAGAUUCAAAUGCGGCCUAGCCGCUAGAAUCCUGGGAUUCAAAAGAAAUGAGGAAGCCAGGGCUCAGCAGCACCUGCUGCGGGAGAGGCGCUCCGAGGAGAUCUUCGAUCUUCGGAAUGCUGAACCGGAGGCAGCCCCAGUAUUAGCAGAACAAGAGGAAGAGCGCUUCCCUGCGAGCAUUUAGGGAAAGGCACGGCCUUAAGGGACCUCCUAGGCAGAGGAAACAUCUUCUUUCCUUCACCUCCCCUCCCUCCACUUCCCCCACCCCCACGCUCAUUGUUAGUCACACCUGGGCACCCUCUAGUCAGAGUGCAAUGCGUUCAGCGAGGAGGUGCCAGCUCUACGUCCUGCUUGCUCUCUCUUGCUUCCCUGGGUGGGACAGGCUGCACCGGAAAUGGCCAUAAGUGGGUAAGAGAAUGAUGGGUGCUCAUAUAAAGUGUCAGAAUGGAGCAUGGGGAAUCAUAGGUUGUUAAAGAUCAACAUCCUGCCUGUGGAGUCCCUUGUGUAAACGAGGAAAAGCCGUGAAAGGUAAAACGACAUCAAGCUUCAAGAGUCCUAAUGUUUGGAAUCCCAAUAGUUCAUUUAUCCGCACUUCUUUGGACAGAUGCCUCAUAUACUAACCACCAAUAGAAGGUUUUACUGUAGAGGGCAA